rnacentral:rRNA from 1 species
AGCACGUUAUGGUGGGCACUCUAAGGAGACUGCCGGUGACAAACCGGACGGAAGGUGGGGAUGACGUCAAGUCAUCAUGGCCCUUACGGCCUGGGCUACACACGUGCUACAAUGGUCGGUACAAAGGGUUGCCAAGCCGCGAGGUGGAGCUAAUCCCAUAAAACCGAUCGUAGUCCGGAUCGCAGUCUGCAACUCGACUGCGUGAAGUCGGAAUCGCUAGUAAUCGUGAAUCAGAAUGUCACGGUGAAUACGUUCCCGGGCCUU